rnacentral:rRNA from 1 species
AUUGAACGCUGGCGGCAGGCUUAACACAUGCAAGUCGAGCGGGGUGAUGGUGCUUGCACUAUCACUUAGCGGCGGACGGGUGAGUAAUGCUUAGGAAUCUGCCUAUUAGUGGGGGACAACAUCUCGAAAGGGAUGCUAAUACCGCAUACGUCCUACGGGAGAAAGCAGGGGAUCACUUGUGACCUUGCGCUAAUAGAUGACCCUAAGUCGGAUUAGCUAGUUGGUGGGGUAAAGGCCUACCAAGGGGACGAUCUGUAGCGGGUCUGAGAGGAUGAUCCGCCACACUGGGACUGGGACGCGGCCCAGACUCCUACGGGAGGCAGCAGUGGGGAAUAUUGGACAAUGGGGGGAACCCUGAUCCAGCCAUGCCGCGUGUGUGAAGAAGGCCUUAUGGUUGUAAAGCACUUUAAGCGAGGAGGAGGCUCUUUUGGUUAAUACCCAAGAUGAGUGGACGUUACUCGCAGAAUAAGCACCGGCUAACUCUGUGCCAGCCGCCGCUGUAA